AAGGCUUGACAUGUUCGGCAAAGUUGCUGAAAGGCAAUAGAGGUUAUCCGAACACAGGUGCUGCAUGGCCGUCGUCAGUUCGUGCCGUGAGGUGUAUGGUUAAGUCCUAUAACGAACGCAACCCUUGGGCUUAGUUACCAGCAUUCAGUUGGGACUCUAAGCCGACUGCCCGAGUAAGUCGGGAAGGAAAGGAAAGGAUGACGUCUGGUCGUCAUCGGCCCUUAUCGGCCGUUGGGCGACACACGUGA
rnacentral:rRNA from 1 species